GAGCCAGGGUGAUGGGCAUGGCCAACAUGUGUGGGCCCCAGGGCUGUGUUCUCUCCCCAGAUUCUUCUCUGACGGGCACCUGGAGGAGAUACCUCCACAGCAGCCCUGGUGAUUCACGUGCUUUCUUUUCUCCAGGAGGCGGGAGGUUAGCACCUUGCAGAGGAGGAGGGGGCGAGCUGAAGGUCACCUUCCAGGGGCUGUGGCAAUGAGUGGGUCACUGCAGAGUGGUUCACUGCUGGAGCAGAGCUUCAAAGUGCACAGUGGGGGCUAAGAGUGCCUCCCCGCCCCAACUCAGUGCCCACAUUCGUGUGCUCCUUCCACGUGGAACUCCAGCCCAUCAAGGUCCUAGCCUGCCUGCAAGAGAAGACACACAUUCUCCUUCCUCCGUGGAGCCUCCUCUGACCCCUUCAUGCCUCCUCCCUGGGCCCCAAGCAUAUUGUUUCAGGCGUGUCUGACUCUUUGCGACCCUAUGGGCUGCAACCUGCCAAGCUCCUCUGUCCAUGGGAUUCUCCAGGAAAGAACACUGGAAUGGGUUGCCAGUUCC
ensembl:lncRNA